CCGUGUUAACUAGCGUAGCCGUGUAACUAGCGUAGACAUGUAACUAGCGUAACCAUGUAACUAGAAGUAGCUGUAGUCAGUAAACAUCUUCAGGUGCAGUAGUACUGCACAUCAGAGCAUUCAAUUGUUUUCAGACAAAGAAACAAGAAAAAUCGGAGUUUCUACAAUGGACCAUGAGGACAAACCCAGCCUGCUGCUCUCCUUCCACACUGAGCCCAAACCUACAGAUUUAUCAAACUCUUAAUCGGUCUCUGCUGAGCAGCCCAGUAGCACCAACUCUAGUGAGCUGUCUAAGCCAGUCGUGCCUGUUCCAAGCCUACUCAAACUGCCUGAUUGCAGCCAAGCUCUUGCCUCGGGGAACCCUGGGCGCAGGAAAAGACCCUGUGCAUCCACACUACAACUUACUACAAUAGUCAUUCAUGUUUCGUUGGUUAUGCUACACAAGGAAAGACUUGGAAGACAGCACUCUCAUUCAUCACCUCAGGUUAAGCGGUCCCACCACAAAAUGUUUUUGAAAAUGUAUAGGCCUAUUUCAACUUCUUUGAACUUUUAGCUUAUUUCCACCCCCAUUUGUUUGCUGUGUUUUUUUGCAUUGCAUUUACAUUAAAGUUUGACUC